rnacentral:lncRNA from 12 species
GUCAGGAUGUGAGAAGUCUCAUCAUAACUGUAACUGGUGAGCAAGAUGCAUGAGAACUAAGAUUGUUUUAGUUCUCAUAGCUCCAGUAAAUAUAAAUCAGUUUCAUGUUUGCACAUCUUGGUUUUAUCUAACCAGCCAAAUGCUCUAACUUAAAGCUUACUCAGAUGUCCCAACUGAUAAGGAAGCACUGAGUAAAACGAUUAUGCCCACUGUGAGUAGUGCAGUAUGCAGAGAUAGUCGUGCUGGUCCCAUCUGUGACAUUAACCUCAUAACACGUGACUGACUCUGUGAUUGUUUUGUGAGUACUUUGCCAUUUUCAUCAACAUUUUCCACCAUUUUGACCAUUUUGAAUGGUUUAGGCCAGUUGAAUAAUACCUUGCAACACCUGUAUCUGGUAACAAUCAUUGAUCUGAGAUUGUGUGUGCUUUUCCAACCCUGCAGGUUCCAGAGAUUGAGCAAGAGCUUUUUACUAAUUCAUUUCUUUAUGGUUCAAAGCUUCUGAGUAAUACAGAGAUAAAUGAAUCCCUUCAGAAAACAACUGAAGAUUACACGAAGAUAUCUUUGUUAAAUGCUUUUGUGGAGGACUCACCAACAUACUUGAAUCCUGAAUCUACCCAAAACAUAGAAUUAAUUUCACUUAAGCCAAGUUACAUUAGCAAAGGAAGUAAUGAAAAAAUCCAACAUCCCAUUCAAACACAAAAAACAACCCCUGUGCCUCUCAAACCUACACCAUUUACCCCACUCAAAGAGAUUUUUAUACAGGAUUCGCAUGGACAUAUGCAACCAACAGAGCAGGCCACAAAACCUCCAGUAAUGAAUCCAGACACAAACAGCCCUUCGUCAGCAGACUUAUAUUUCCAUAAAAUGUUGAGCUUUUCUCUGAAAAGUGCCCAGUCCUUUAGCGGACAAACUCAGACUACAGGCUUAACUUUAAUGGAUGUAGAGAAUUUCACUGCCUUGGCUCCUGUUGAAAAGCACCAAAAUCAGAGUCAAAUCAUCAAGCAGUCUGGAGGUACCAAGUCAUCAGUGACGAAUGACACAGACCUUGUUGAGUCACUCAAGAAAAACACCUCACAGGCUCCUAUGAGGACCACUGACAAUAAUUACAGAGAAAAGGAGAAAUCCCAAACUUGGUUGCCUGUGAUUGAGAAGCAUGACAUUCCCAUUGUGGUUGGAGUUGGUGUUUCAUUGGCAUUCAUCUUCAUUGCCAUGGCCUUUUACUCUCUGGUUCAGAAAAAUGAUCCUGCAGCUGUACCUACAGGGAGGGCAGGUGAAAUAUAAUAUAUAUUUUAAAAAUAAACCUUGAUACUCAUUUUACUCAUAGACUUUGAUGAGUUCAUAAAUAAGAUGUUCAAGUAUAAUAAAACAUUGUUUUCUCAUAGCUUUGAGGGGAAUAGGUGGGCCUUGCAGGCAUGGUGAACGUCUUGCGAUGGAAAGGACAUACGAUAACAAGUUAGUUUUGUUCAGAGCAUGUUGACAGCAAGUAUAAUGCCCCUGUCAAUAUUGCAUUAAUUGAAUAGUAGUUCCAUAACUGUCUUAAUGAUGGCACAUUUCAGGGCAUUUGAAGAUGAUAAUUUGGUGGCUGUCAUUGAGCAAAGCCCCAACACAUCAGAGACAAGAGCGCUCCCAACAGAAGGCAGCCCAUCCACCUUGAUGAUGGAACCACCGCCUGAUGACUUGCAAGAGGGUGUCCAGUCCACCCAGGACCUGCCAGUUAUUGUCGAGACUCACCCAGAGCCUAGAGAAGAAGACCAGGUCAGAACUUUUAUUGUGCUUUCACCUCUUUAACAAAUUUAUUCCAAACCCAUGAAGGAGAAUAUCUUGAUACCUGAUACUGAAUUCAAUUCAAUUCAAGUAUAUUUGUAUAGCGCUUUUUACGAUAGAAAUCAUUGCAAAGCAACUUUACAGACAAGUUUAAGUUAAGUUAAGUUUCUACAAUAUUUAGUAGUAGCUUAUCAGUGUUGACUGUCAGUUUAUGUGCAUAUGGCAGAAAUGUAUGGAAAAAUCAAUUAAAGACGUAAUUAAACAGACGAUGAACACUAAUAACAGCAAUUAUUAUAUGAUGCAAUCAAACUUAUAGCCAAAUUUGAACAUUUUCAGGANGGGUUAGCAUCAUCUGAGGUCCUCUGAGGGGUUGGCAUCAUCUCUUUUCAGCUGUUCUGAAUCCAGACUGAAGCUUAUGUAAAUCCUACUUACCACGGGAUAUAAAUCCUGUGGCAAAACAGAGAAACAAAUAGAGACAUAAUUAGCGUAGCUGCUGUUCCAACCAAGUAAAAUUAAUUAGUUUAACCCAAGCUAAAGAAUAAUAAUGCGCAUUUGAUCAGAUAUAACUGCAGUCCAAAUUUAUGAGAUGCAUUAUUUGAAUGCUUGGCCAAAGAGAUGUUUUUAAUCUAGAUAUAAACAGAGAAAGUGUGUCUGAACCCCGAACAUUUUCAGG